AGCAGCCGCGGUAAUUCCAGCUCCAAUAGCGUAUAUUAAAGUUGUUGCAGUUAAAAAGCUCGUAGUUGAAUUUCGGGACCGGCUUACUGGUCGUGCUAUUGUGCGUACUGGUAUAAUCGGUUUCUCCUUUCUGACGAACUAUAAUGCCAUUAAUUUGGUGUUAUAGGGAAUCAGGACUGUUACUUUGAAAAAAUUAGAGUGUUUAAAGCAGGCUCACGCUUGAAUACAUUAGCAUGGAAUAACGGAAUAGGACGUUUGAUUCUAUUUUGUUGGUUUCUAGGAUCGACGUAAUGAUUAAUAGGGAUAGUUGGGGGCAUUAGUAUUCAAUUGUCAGAGGUGAAAUUCUUGGAUUUAUUGAAGACUAACUACUGCGAAAGCAUUUGCCAAGGAUGUCUUCAUUAAUCAAGAACGAAAGUUAGGGGAUCGAAGACGAUCAGAUACCGUCGUAGU
rnacentral:rRNA from 1 species